rnacentral:lncRNA from 1 species
UUGAGAGAGGUCAGCGUGAGCCCCUUGCCUCACACCGGCCCCUCCCACGCUGAGAGAGGUCAGUGUGAGCCCUUGCCUCACACCGGCCCCUCCCACGCGGACAGAGGUCAGCGUGAGCCCCUUGCCUCACACCGGCCCCUCCCACGCUGAGAGAGGUCAGUGUGAGCCCUUGCCUCACCCCGGCCCCUCCCACGUGGACAGAGGUCAGCGUGAGCCCCUUGUCUCACACCGGCCCCUCCCACGCUGAGAGAGGUCAGCCCAAGCCCCUUGCCUCACACCGGCCCCUCCCACGCGGACAGAGGUCAGCCCGAGCUCCUUGCCUCACACCGGCCCCUCCCACGCUGAGAGAGGUCAGUGUGAGCCCUUGCCUCACACCGGCCCCUCCCACGCGGACAGAGGUCAGCGUGAGCCCCUUGCCUCACACCGGCCCCUCCCACGCUGAGAGAGGUCAGUGUGAGCCCUUGCCUCACACCGGCCCCUCCCACGCGGACAGAGGUCAGCGUGAGCCCCUUGCCUCACACCGGCCCCUCCCACGCUGAGAGAGGUCAGCCCGAGCCCCUUGCCUCACACCGGCCCCUCCCACGCUGAGAGAGGUCAGCCCGAGCCCCUUGCCUCACACCGGCCCCUCCCACGCUGAGAGAGGUGUGAGCCCCUUGUCUCACACCGGCCCCUCCCACGCGGACAGAGGUCAGCGUGAGCCCCUUGCCUCACCCCGGCCCCUCCCACGCUGAGAGAGGUCAGUGUGAGCCCUUGCCUCACACCGGCCCCUCCCACGCGGACAGAGGUCAGCGUGAGCCCCUUGCCUCACCCCGGCCCCUCCCACGCUGAGAGAGGUCAGUGUGAGCCCUUGCCUCACACCGGCCCCUCCCACGCGGACAGAGGUCAGCG